UACGAAGGGAGCUAGCGUUGUUCGGAAUCACUGGGCGUAAAGCGCACGUAGGCGGAUGUGUCAGUCAGGGGUGAAAUCCCGGAGCUCAACUUCGGAACUGCCUUUGAUACAGCACGUCUUGAGUCCGGAAGAGGUGGGUGGAAUUCCUAGUGUAGCGGUGAAAUGCGCAGAUAUCAGGAGGAACACCGGUGGCGAAGGCGGCUCACUGGCCCGAUACUGACGCUGAGGCACGAAAGCGUGGGGAGCAAACAGG
rnacentral:rRNA from 1 species